GGAGAGAUGGCCGAGUGGUUUAAAGCGAUGGAUUGCUAAUCCGUUGUACAUUUUUUUUUGUACCGAGGGUUCGAAUCCCUCUCUCUCCU
rnacentral:tRNA from 1 species